UACGUAGGGAGCAAGCGUUAUCCGGAUUUAUUGGGUGUAAAGGGUGCGUAGACGGGAAUUUAAGUUAGUUGUGAAAUCCCUCGGCUUAACUGAGGAACUGCAACUAAAACUGAAUUUCUUGAGUGCGGGAGAGGAAAGUGGAAUUCCUAGUGUAGCGGUGAAAUGCAUAGAUAUCGCGCAGAACCCCGAUUGCGAAGGCAGCCUGCCGGCCCCACACUGACGCUCAGGCACGAAAGCGUGGGUAUCAAACAGG
rnacentral:rRNA from 1 species